ACACACAAAUAUUAAAAAAAUUAAUUUAUAAAAAAAAUACCUUUUCUUUUUUUUUUUCCUUCCUUCCCUCUUCUUCUUCUUUUUUUUCUCUUCUCCUUUCUUUUUCUUUCUUUCUUUCUUUCUUUUUUCUUCUCCUUUCCUUUUCUUCUUCUUUCUUUCUUUCUUUUUUUCUGUUCUCCUUUCCUUUUCUUUCCUUCUUUUUCUUUCUUUCCUCUCCUUUCUUUUUUCUGUUCUCCUUUCCUUUUCUUUCCUUCUUUUUCUUUCUUUCCUCUCCUUUCUUUCUUUCUUUCUUUCUUUCCCCCUCCUUCUGGUCCCCCC
rnacentral:lncRNA from 1 species